ensembl:lncRNA
CCUUUGCUUUUACAUAAUCAAGGGAAUUGGGUGUUUUCUGCAAUAUGCAGGUCAAGCCAUCACUCACCUGGUGUGGGGGGAUUUAGCAUUGGCUUACAUGCAUUCUUGGCGUGACCCUGAGAACUUACGGCAAUUGUAUCUCCUCAGACUGUAUCUCUCCCUUGAGAGCAGCUGCAUUGUGUGCCCGCCUGGCUAUUACUGUCUCUCUGCUGGACUCACAGCCCCCUCUGGCCUCUGCUCGCCUGGCUACUACUGUCUACCUGGAGCCAUCUCACCUUCCCCUGCAGGUAAGUAUAUGUGACCUGAGUUCUGCAUGCCUUUGUAAAGCCACAAGGAGAUUUUUUUUUGCUAAAUUCUUUUAUGCCUCGAGCAUCAACUAGAAAUGUUUAAUCUAUCCCUUUUCACAGGGCUUCCAGAACAGGGAGGGCUUUGCCCGGUGGGCCACUUUUGCCCAGAAGGGACCAGCCACCCGUUUCCCUGUCUUGCUGGAACUUAUAACAAUCUCACUAAGCAACCUGUUUGCUUCCCGUGUCCUGCUGGUUACUACUGUCCUGAAAAUACCACCGACUACAGUAGGUUCACAUGCCCGCCCGGCUUCUUCUGUCCGCAAGGAACCAAGUUUGCAACGGAAUUUCCUUGCCCUCGGGGUUAUUACAACCCGGAUCCAAUGACCCAGAGCCUGGACAGCUGUUUGCCAUGCCUCCCAGGGCAUUACUGUGGGAAGGAAAAUUUAACCACCGUUUCGGGGAAGUGUGAUGCAGGAUGGUUCUGCAUUUUGGCCGCAUGGACACCCCAGCCUUUUGAUCUGGAUAACUACACCAGUGGCAACUGUCUUUGCCCUGCCACGGCCACAGGAGCUAAAUGUUCCCCUGGGUUCUACUGCCCAGAAGGCAGCCCUGAGCCCAUUCUGUGUCCUCCAGGGUUUUACUGCAAUGCACCAGGUAAACAAGAAAAUACCGUAUUUUUCCAUGUAUAAGAUGCCCCAUGUAUAAAACCCCACCUGUUCUAACCCAUUUUUUUUCUUUGCAAGAAAGUGGAGGGGAAAAACAAUUAUGUUUAAAUGUGUGUGCAUGUGAUCAAUGCAUCGGUAUUAAGCAGCUUGAGGUCUGGCUCUCUAAGAGACCUCUUGUCUCAUUAUGAACCUCUCCAGGUGUCAAGGUCUUCAGGAAGGUCCCUCUUGAAAAUACCAACAGCUCCAUAGACCUGUUUGGCAGGCAUACAAAAAGGGCUUAUUCCCAUAUACUGUAGAUCCCAAACUGUGGGCUGUCAGUUGAGGACGGGACCUUCAGGAGUUCGCUCAUUCGUAGGGUCAGAGACAACUUGAUGGCACACGAGAUGAACAAUUCUCAAUUUAUCAACUAAAGGUUUUGCUGGUUCAUCUACCAGUUAAAUGAGUAGUUAUAAAUUAACAGAAGUGUGGGUUUGCGUGUGUUGGGAAUGUCUCUGGGCUGAUGUUCCUCCUUCCUUUUCCUUCUUGAGGUCUGUCUGCUCCAAGUGGUGAAUGUGCAGCUGGUUUUCAUUGUACAGGAGGAGCCUCUUCUCCUAAGCCUGUGGAUGGCGUUACAGGUAACCUCUGUCCACAAGGCGCUUACUGCCGUAAGUAUCCCACUCCACGUCCAGAGGAAGAAUUUUGUCCCUUGGAAAGAACAUUCGUCGUAGGUUCUUGCAUCUCAGUUCUCCCAAUGCCAGUCUUUGAGUACAUUUAAUUCUUUAAAAAAUAAAGAUAAAAUAAAACCAAAACCUUCUGGUUUA